rnacentral:rRNA from 1 species
GUAAGGAAUAUUGGACAAUGGACGCAAGUCUGAUCCAGCCAUGCCGCGUGAAGGAUUAAGGUCCUCUGGAUUGUAAACUUCUUUUAUAAGGGACGAAAAAAGGCUUUUCUAAGUCGUCUGACGGUACCUUAUGAAUAAGCACCGGCUAACUCCGUGCCAGCAGCCGCGGUAAUACGGAGGGUGCAAGCGUUAUCCGGAUUCACUGGGUUUAAAGGGUGAGUAGGCGGGCAGGUAAGUCAGUGGUGAAAUCCUAGAGCUUAACUCUAGAACUGCCAUUGAUACUAUCUGUCUUGAAUAUUGUGGAGGUAAGCGGAAUAUGUCAUGUAGCGGUGAAAUGCUUAGAUAUGACAUAGAACACCUAUUGCGAAGGCAGCUUACUACGCAUAUAUUGACGCUGAGGCACGAAAGCGUGGGGAUCAAACAGGAUUAGAUACCCGUGUAGUCC